AUGACGUUUACCAUAGUUUAUUAGCAAAGGGCCAAGCAACAUUCUUGAACCUGAGAAUUGUCUGCAAUUCUUUAAUAAGAAUAAGAACAAAGGCCCAACAAGGAAAGAGGCACGCCAAAUUUUCUGGACUUUGCAUGCUGCCAUCUGGGAAGGAAAUCAAGACCAAAUCUCUGCUAUUUCUAGAAGACUUGUAUAAUUGAAGGUCCUCAUGGGAUUGAAAACGUCAUCACCCGAGAGUUCAUCUCAGUCUUACAUCCCAGAGACUUCUGGAAGCUCCAGGAGUCCUGCACCCACAGCAGGAUUGCGCCUUACUGUCUGGUCCUAUAUGCAUGGGGUCGAGAUAUUACAUCAACUAUUCUGUCUGUUUUCUUGGUAUACAACCAACUUGUUAAUGUGAAUUAGAAGCAACAAUUUCAUUGGGCAAUGAUACAGCUUCCAAAUGCCUUCUAUUAUAGUUCAUUAAUUAAGCUCUUUUCAGAAAAACCAUCUGUGGUGGGUUGACCAUGGAUUUUAAUUAAGGCAUUCUCAGCUCACUGAGUCACAAAUCCCAUAUCUUGUCCUACGUCAGAAACAUCACUCGAGACUGCUGAUCUGUGGUAUCAGGUCACAGCUUUGAUAAAAUUGGAAAAGGUCUGAAGACAACAACGUCAGUUUGUUUCUGCUCUGGCUCCUAGUCUACAUCACCACUUGGCCCAAAGGAAUAGUGUGUAUCUGUGGUAAGCUAUAAAAACAGGCCUGACAUUCUUUGACUUGUAAAGAGAUACUCUGGUUUUCUUUCUCAUUGUGUGAAAAUUGUGGACGUUUUGCAACUGGGACAUUGUAAGUACAUUUUGAGACCAUUUCGAAAAUAGGAUGAUUUAAUGUGAUAGGAAUGGCUACACACAGCCCAUUUAGAAAUAGCUUCACUGUAGAUGUUAUUACCAAAGAUCUGCAUCACUUUAGUUAAAAGGUAUUGAUUUCAUGGUAUGUAGCCUAAUGACAUCUGUACUACAUAACACCUGAUAUGCUUGAGACAUAUUGUUGGCAACACACUACAAACAUGAACAAAUUCUUAUUUUAAGUGUUAUGUUGUUUUAUGGGGGUAUGCUUGCUCUGUAAUCCUUUAAUAAUAUCCACAGACUAUAAGUUAUUAAAUCACACAGGCAGGUUCCUCUGUGAAGCCUUUAGUGAGAGAUAAGACUUCUCAUCCCCUUGAUUCAGUUAUAUUCUCACUUCAAUGGCAUGCCACAAGGGGGAAUUAAGGCUUACACCACUGUUGGCGGUUUAUGAAUAGGUUUUUAUGUAUGUGGGCCACUUCCCCACCUUCAAUCUGUUCUUAUGUCAAUUACAU